rnacentral:rRNA from 1 species
CAGUAGCCGCGGUAAUACAGAGGUCCCGAGCGUUGUUCGGAUUCACUGGGCGUAAAGGGUGUGUAGGAGGUUGGAUAAGUCAGGUGUGAAAUCCCGCAGCUCAACUGCGGAACUGCAUUCGAUACUGUUCAACUAGAGGAUCGGAGGGGGAAGCGGAAUUCUUGGUGUAGCGGUGAAAUGCGUAGAUAUCAAGAGGAACACCGGUGGCGAAGGCGGCUUCCUGGAAGAUACCUGACUCUGAAACACGAAAGCCAGGGGAGCGAAUGGGAUUAGAUACCCCCGUAGUCCCUGUCUCUUAUAC